CCUACGGGAGGCAGCAGUGAGGAAUAUUGGUCAAUGGACGAGAGUCUGAACCAGCCAAGUAGCGUGAAGGAUGACUGCCCUAUGGGUUGUAAACUUCUUUUAUAUGGGAAUAAAAUGUUCCACGUGUGGGAUUUUGUAUGUACCAUAUGAAUAAGGAUCGGCUAACUCCGUGCCAGCAGCCGCGGUAAUACGGAGGAUCCGAGCGUUAUCCGGAUUUAUUGGGUUUAAAGGGAGCGUAGGUGGAUUGUUAAGUUAGUUGUGAAAGUUUGCGGCUCAACCGUAAAAUUGCAGUUGAAACUGGCAGUCGUGAGUACAGUAGAGGUGGGCGGAAUUCGUGGUGUAGCGGUGAAAUGCUUAGAUAUCACGAAGAACUCCGAUUGCGAAGGCAGCUCACUGGACUGCAACUGACACUGAGGCUCGAAAGUGUGGGUAUCAAACAGGAUUAGAUACCCUAGUAGUC
rnacentral:rRNA from 1 species